rnacentral:lncRNA from 10 species
AGGUUGUCAACAGUUUCAAAAUGAUGCAGUGUUUCUUAGCCAAGCAAAAUUUGCCUGAAAGAAAAAUCUCAAUUUCUUGUGUGCAGACAGGACCCCUGUAAUGCUUGGCACCACCCUGCGCUUUACUGCUUGGUAACAUGUCAGGGUGAUUCACUGUUGUUGACAUGGGCAUGCAUUGGCAUCAAAAGCCUUUUCAAAAUUUUUGAAGGAAGCUUUGCUUACUGCUAUGAAAAGUGUUAAAUUUAUAACGGCAUCAUUUCAAGAUGUUUUGUCAAGAGAUGGGAGCAAGAUACAAAGUUCUUCUCUAUUCCACCAUUUACUGGCUUUCCCAAGAGCAAAUCUGGUAAUAAGUGAUUGAAUGUCACAUGGAACUUUCCUUUUCUUGAGAGAAAAAGAAAGUAAAUCUACUUUUAAAAUAAUUUUGGCAUGAGAAUAGCUCGCUUGUGGCUUGACUUACAUAACAAAUAUUUUUGGUUACAUACUUAAGGUAAAUCUUUCGAUUCCGGGUUCUGCAGUGACAAUGGGUGCUACUGAAAAAUUACAAGCUCUUUGACUAAGCUGUUGCUAGAGGUGGGCAAGUAUGUGAACUUUUUGAUACUGGAUGAAGAUAUACUUUUGUACUCUGGAAAUGGGAAAGCCAAGGAGAUAGUGAUAUAUAGAUUCCUGGCAAUGUGGCAGAGUUCUUUUGAAAGUUAUUUUAUUUAAACAACCUUAAAAUAGGAAUCUGGAUUUGCAAUUUUUUUCCUUGCUAACAAAAAUAACACCAGUAAUUCAGACUUGCUAAAGAUACCCUCAUUGAUAUGAGGACAAAAGAGAAGACUUGACUCAUAUUCAGUUCAAAGUCCUGGGGAAUUCUGGUGUUGUUAUGCACAAAAUUAUUCUAACCUGGCAAAAUGAGUGAUGAGUAGCUCUGAUUCCAUUUGCUGUGGGCAAAAUGCUGUAAUAUUAAAAGCUGGCCCCCAAAUCUCUUUUAGAGAAAACUCUGUCUAGAGUCAUACACUGAUAAAUGUGUAACUGGGAUAGAUUUUGUCGCUACUCAGUUUCUCUCAAAUAUGAGAUUUGGUCACUUGCCCCUCCAAGACUUCCAACUGCUUCCUGGUGUUAAGGACCCCUCUUUCUGGAAAACUUCGGAAAAGUCUGGACUUUCGGAAAAAAAAAAAAAAAAAGCAAUGUCUAUUCAGCACAUUUUGGAUGGUAUGUGCCAGAUAAAUGUCCUGCUGAUCCAUGGAUGACAAGUUGUCUUCCAUCAGCAAUGGGAAGAAAACUGACAUAGUUCCUCAGUGUGGUCAUUGUGUUUCCUGUGACUUCUACUGGAAUGGCUGUGGGUGAUGGCAUUGGCUCAGCUUCUAUCAGGCUCCCUGUGGAAGAGGCUUUGGAAGCUUGGCUUUCCUUGAUGGUGACUCUGUUCUUUCACUCCCUAUCCUUUCCUCCCCCACCACAAUUCAGCCCUUCUUCCUACCUCCCCUCAGGUGAUGCUCCAGAACACUCUCCCCUUCCUGCCACCUCCUUAUCCCAGGAACUUUCAUUUAGUCACCAUGGAGAUUCAAGGGUAAAUUUUCUGUGCCUCCUUCAAUUUUUUUUCUAAUGAAUUUCUAUGGAUCAAACUCCAUGUCCUGUUUCCCUUAAGGCUUUCCUGCUUUGACACCUAAUAACCUAUUUUACAUAUAAAACAGAAAUCAAGAGGUGAACAAAAAACAAAAACCCUGAAUCAUGUUUUUUUCUUUUCGCAUAUCUCCCUUUCUAAUUCUUUUCAAGGCAAUGUAGAUGCCUCUGGUGUACUGGGGAGGGUCAGUACAAAGAAGUGGCACAAGAACACCAAAAACAAGGUACAACAAUUACUAUUGGGUAAACAGGUUGCCUAAAGGUGUUAGGGUGUCAGUGGGUCCUAAAGCUUCAAAGAUUGGUCAUAACUGCUUUGUUUAGUAAAAAGGGAAAAAUUAAGAGCCAGCAAAAUGGUAGAGGUUUUGUUGAUGGUCACAUUAUUUGAUGUGACCUCUCCAUGGGAAUCCUCCCAAAGAUACAAUCAAAUCUAUUACUAUUACAAAAGCUUGAUAUGUGGAAAGGGGCUAAGAUGGGGUCAGUGCUGACUGGGAUGGGGCAGAAUGUAGGGAUAUCAGAGCUUAGAAGUGGAGGAGGCAGGCAGAUGCCAGUUGCUGCUGACCUAGCAGAAACGUUGAGGUAGAAUUUUAGCUUUCCAUUGGCUAUGAAUAGUGUAUUAAAAUUAACAUGGGUAUUUUAAGACUUCUUUGGGAGGUGAGAGCAGGUCCAUAUGUACAUACAAAUCAUUUUUGAGAUGGCCCCUGGAGGGGGUUCUGUGGUAAGAACCUGAGGAGGGCCUCUUAGAGUAGUCCUGAUUGAUAGUUGUCAAGAAAACAGGGACUUUACUUGACAACUACAAGAAUCUUAAUUUUUCCAACCACCAGUGAACUUGGAAGAAGACUUCAAGUUUUUGAUGAGAUCAUGGCAUUGACUGACAUCUUGAUUUCAGCCUCGUGAGAUGUUGAUUAGAGGACCAAGUUAUCCUGCUCUGGACUCCUUACUUAAAGAAACUCAGAUAUUAGAUUUGUGUUGUAUUAAGUUGCUAAAUUUAUGGUAAUUUGUUAUGCAGCAAUAGAAAACUAAUACAGUGACAAAUAAAAUAUUACCAAAAUGUUCUUCAAUAGGGACAGAUUAAGUAAAUGAUGAUACAUUCACACAAUGGAGUAAUAUUAGUUUUAAUAGGAAUAAAGAAUAUCUGUGUGAGGUGUUUUUAUAUGCUAACUUUUGUAUAAGAAAGACUAUGAAUACAUACACACCAAUGCUUAUAUUUUCAAUAUGAAAUAGUAGGAUGAUAAAUCAAAUUAAAUAAAAAAUGGUUACUUAGAAGAGGAGUCAAGGACCAAAGAGAAGAAAACAGGAUUGACAAGAGAAUUUUGUAAAUAUACCUUGUUAUGUUUUUGACUUCGGUACUAUGUAAAAUGUUUACAUAAUGAAAGCUAAAAUUAAAUAAUAAAAAGAAAUCCCUAAACAUUAAAAAUGGAAAUAAACAAACCUAGCUGCAUAUCAAUUUGGUAGCAAAAUUACACAGAUAAAUUUAUUAUUUAAAGUGACUUUAAAGCACAGUAUUUUGACUAUUUCUGCUUAGUGGGAUGUAUCUAAGGACAGAUUUAUGUAUAUGGCCUAGGCAACCACUAAUUGACUUCAAGUAGGACAAACACAAAGAAGUCCACAAUCAGGUGCAUUAUAGAAAAUGCUGAAAAACAGACAGAGAGAAAAUCUUGAAAGGAGUGAGAAACAAAUUGAGUAAUUUCUUCAUAUACGCACAAGCCCCAAUAAAAUUAAUAAAUGAUUUCUCAUCAGAAACAAUGGAAGCCAGAGAUAGUGGGAUGACAUAUUCAAAGAGCUGGAAGAAAAAAAUUGUCAACUAAGAAUCUUUUAUUCUGCAAAAAAGAUGAAAUAAAGACAUUCCCAGAGCAACAGAAAAUGAGACAAUUAGUGGCUAGGAAACCCACCUUACCUGAAAUACUAAAGGAAGUUUUUCACACUGAAAGCAAGUGAGUCCAGAUCUUCAUUCAAAUGCACCCCCUAAAACAAAGAGUACUGGUAAAGGUAAUUGUGUAAUAUAAAAUAAGUAUAAAUAAAAUAUUUCUUUUUAUUUCUUUUCUUAGGUACAGUUUAACAGCAAUUGUAUAAAACAAUAUGCAUAUACAGUUGAACUUUGAACAACAUGGGUUUAAAUUGUGUGGGUCCCCUUAUAUGUAGAUAUCUUUCAAUAAAUAUAUUGGAAAAUUUUUUGGAGAUUUGUGACAAUUUGAAAAAAAACUCAUUGAUGAGCUGCUUAGCCUAGAAAUAUAAAACAAUUAAGAAAAAGUUAGGUAUGGCAUGAAUGCAUAAAAUAUAUGUGGAGACUAUUUUAUCAUUUACUACCAUAAAAUGUAUAAAAAUCUAUUAUAAAAAGUUAAAAUUGAUUAAAAUUUAUGCACACAAACACUUACAGGCCAUACAUGGUGCCAUUAGCAGUCAAGAGAAAUGUAAACAAAUAAAAAUAUGCAGUGUUAAGUCAUAGUUGCAUAAAAUUAACUGUGAUCAUACUGUGCUACUGUAAUAAUUUUGGAGCCACCUCCUGUUGCUAUUGUGGUGAGCUCAAGUGUUGUGUAUAUCUCCUUAAAAUACCAUAUGAUGCUAAUCAACUCCACGUGAACAGGUCACCUCUCUGAUAAACUUCUGAUUGCAGUGCAAAGUGAUCUCUCAUGGUUAUUUUAUAUUUUUCAUCAUGUUUAGUGCAAUACCAUAUACCUUGAAUAGCACCACGAGACCUAUAUGAAGUGCCACUAGUGAAGCUGUAUGUGCUCCUGAGAAGCAGAGAAAAAUCAUGACAUUACAAGAAAAAGUUGAAUUGCUUGAUAGUACUAUUGAUUGAAGUCUGCAGCUGCUUUUACUCACCAUUUCAGACAGGUGAUUCAUCUUGUAAACAGGCAACACAAAUUAUGGUAUCAAUAAAUACAGUACAGUACUGUACAUGUAUUUUCUCUUCCUUAUGAUUUUCUUAGUGACAUUUUAUUUUCUCUAGAUUACGUUGGCAUUGGAGCCAACUAGAAGGGAGUUCCCUCGUGGAUGGGACAAUGUGAGCAUCAAAAGGAAUGACUGCAUCAAACUGAAACACAAC